rnacentral:rRNA from 1 species
CAGAUUCGCACCCCACAUUGGGUUGGUGGACUGGGCGUUCCCAACCUACGGUGGCUAAACACAUCAGCACAAGCACGGUGGCUAUGGCUGCGACGCACUGACCGACUGAGACCUUGGGCAGAGUUCAAGUUCAAUGUUAUGACCGAGGCAAUGACAAUCUACCAAGCGGCAAAGCAUGCAACUAUGUGCAAUGGCGACAACACUAUGUUCUAGGAAGAUAGAUGGCUUCAAGGCGAUCGUAUACAAGACUUGGCACCUAACAUCUAUGACGUGGUGGGCCCUAGGACAAAGUCCUCACGCACGGUACGGUAG